UAAACCCUUCACAAAGUUCAUGGCGCUGUCUUCCGCCCGGACCUGUCCGCAGUGGUUCCCCCGGAGACGAGCAGCACUGAACGCACACAAGACUGCAGGAGACCCGCGGCCCCAUCCAGCUCCGUACACGGCGACUCCAUCCUUUGGUCACUCAGGCCAAACCUCGAAGUCAUCGUGGAUCCGUCUCACUCACAUCCUACACGCAUCCCUUCGACGAGUCCUUCCAGCGUCAGCGCCAGAAGGUGUGGAGAGCCGGCAGCUUCCCCUGCACAGCAGCCCCACGCCGCCCACCCGCGCCCCUGCCCCGGCUCAUCGCGAGGCUCCCAGGGCUCUCCCCGCCUCCACGCCAGCCGCCCAUACACUAUUUUCCGCGCAGUAGAACAUAAAUCCAGCACAUCCCUCCUCUGCUCAGAACCCUCAGUGACACGCCGUCUCCCGGAGGACCGGAUCCCCGCGAUGGCCGCUCGGCGGCGCCCUCGGCUGCGCCCGUCCGCAGACGCCGCACGGCUCCCCUCAGGCUCUCCGAGAGAAGAUAUCUGCCCGUCUUUUUUUAAAAAAAGGAAAAGAAGGGAAAACAUCUUCAAAUGUUAUUUCCUCAGCAAAGCCUUCCCUGCCCGAGACGGAGGAGCGCCUCCCCGCCGCGGCGGCUCUUCCCGCGGCCGCCGCGGGCCUUCGCUGCUUCACGUGGGCUUUUCUCUCUUUCCGCUGGACCGUGAGCGCGCCGAGCGGUUUCAUUUCUCCCUCCGCCGCCGUGUGCCCGUGGCCCACACCAACGUGGGGCCUCAUUUCUUUUGAACAGAGCAAAAAUGGCCCCGGAAAGCCCCCGAAGCCCUGCGGGAAGCGCCGCCCGAGGUGCCGCCGGGCCUGCUGGCUCCUCGGCCUGCGCGUUUGCGUGGCGUUCCCUCCUCGGGGAACUGUGGGGCCUAAUCCCGCCCGCCCUGUUCCUGCCACAGUGCCUGUUUCUUCCCUUACGGUCUUUUGGAAUUAGCAGUGUAUACUGUAUUGUUCUGCUUACAUUUUAAUGCCUGUCGUCCCGCUGGAAGGCGGCCCGGGGGCCGGCGCAGGAAGCUCUCAGUGACCCCGAGGGGACCGCCGAGGACCGCGUGCGGAGGCGCUGGGAAGGCGGAAACCGCCGUUUGACGCGAACAAAGGAAAAUCUGGCUGUAGACGCUUCCAGCUUCUUAAGAAGUGACAUUUCUUAGGAAGGGAGAAUAGACCUUUCUCCUGCUACCUUCCAGCUCACGGAGACUGGUGUGCCAAAGAGUUUGAUCUUGUUCAAAGAAAAAUGAAUUUCCCAGCCUCUGAGGGGACCCUGUGCCGCUCACGGGCAGACGUCCUGAGACAACGGCCCUUUGUUCAGAGGAGAGCCUUAAUGAGGGCUGCCACCCCGGAGUAAAGCAGACUGGGCGCCUUAAUCAACCGAGAUCUACUUUCUCACCGUUGGAGAGGUUAGCAGUCCGAGAAAGAAAUGUGACUGCCCUGCAUUUCCACUCUGUCUCAUCUGUGAAUGGGAACUCAGACUUACCUGCAGCCCAGCUCUGACGGUGCAGUUGAGGGUAAGGCCCUGGGGGAAAGCAGUGAAACAAGAUGGAAGGAGCUCGGAUCCCUGCAUGACCAUGUGGAGUCAUCUCAUCCGUCCGGCUACUCACCUCAAGAGCGAAAUAAUGCGAGAAUGAAAUAAAGGCCUACAUCGGUCGUCUCUGUAUUCUGAAGGCUCUUCAUCACGGCAGUUCUGCUUUUACCCUCAUACAGACGGCAAGAUAGCUUCCAUGGCCCCAUGACUAGUGUAUUUUUUAAAAAACUCUUGUUAUGAAAACUUUAUAACUUAAAUAAAAAUAGCAAAAAUGGAAUAAUUAAUCCUAUGUAACCAUCUAGUGUUAGACUUCAUCAACUUUCACCACAUUUACUUCAUAUUUUUUUUGAAGAGGCUUGAAGAAGAGAAAUGCUUUAUUUUAAACUGUUUUCUGUACCGCUUGGCAUUGUAAAACUAUUUCAAAAGUUAUUUCAAUCUUCAGUAAAUGUGUGCUACACAUAAACUUCUUGCAUUGGUGAGGAAAUCAUAGAAAAAUGUGUUGUUUUUCCCUUGCCAAGUGGCAAUGGAUGGAGAAAAGAGAAGAAGCACAGGAAGUGGGAUGGGAAGUGGAUUGAGUUUAGUGGGACCAGGAAGUCUGAGCAAGGAGGGAGCACAGAGUCAAGCACCUUGGG
rnacentral:lncRNA from 1 species